rnacentral:rRNA from 1 species
AUUGAACGCUGGCGGCAGGCCUAACACAUGCAAGUCGAGCGGAUGAAGGGAGCUUGCUCCUGGAUUCAGCGGCGGACGGGUGAGUAAUGCCUAGGAAUCUGCCUGGUAGCGGGGGAUAACGUCCGGAAACGGGCGCUAAUACCGCAUACGUCCUGAGGGAGAAAGUGGGGGAUCUUCGGACCUCACGCUAUCAGAUGAGCCUAGGUCGGAUUAGCUAGUUGGUGGGGUAAAGGCCUACCAAGGCGACGAUCCGUAACUGGUCUGAGAGGAUGAUCAGUCACACUGGAACUGAGACACGGUCCAGACUCCUACGGGAGGCAGCAGUGGGGAAUAUUGGACAAUGGGCGAAAGCCUGAUCCAGCCAUGCCGCGUGUGUGAAGAAGGUCUUCGGAUUGUAAAACACUUUAAGUUGGGAGGAAGGGCAGUACGUUAAUACCUUGCUGUUUUGACGUUACCAACAGAAUAAGCACCGGCUAACUUCGUG